rnacentral:rRNA from 1 species
GGUUGAUCGACCACAAUGGGCCUGAAGAAAGCCCAUGAUGAAUAUUACAGCAGUGAGGAAUAUUGGUCAAUAGCCUAACGGCUGAACCAGCAACUUGGGGGAAUGUAUAGCAAUAGCUAUUUGCACUAAAAAUUUUAGUGUAAAAUCAACGUUGAAUGAAGUUCUGGGUAGAAUUAUGAUAAUGACAUUAUCUGCCCAUAAGUCUUGACCAAAUUACGUGCCAGCAGUCGCGGUAAUACGUAGAAGACAAGUGUUAUUCAUCUUUAAUAGGUUUAAAUGGUACUUAGACGGUAAAUAAAGCCCCUAAAAAAGGUACUAGUUUGCUAGAGUUUUAUGUGAGGGAGUUUUAAAGUACUACUGGUGGAGAGAUGAAAUGCAGUCAUACCUUAAAUGGCACAGGUUAAGGGCGAAAGCAUCUUCUUAUGUAAAAACUGACGUUGAAGGGACGAAGGCUUUGUGUCUCGAACAGGGAUUAAGUUACCCUAGUAGUCUAAAGCAGAAAAUGAUGAAUGUCAUAGAUUAGAUUUAAUUUGAUCUAUNAAUGGAAAGUGUAGCAUUCCCCUCAAGAGUAAUUUGGGCNACAUUUGGAACUGAAAUCAUUAGCCGUUCUUGAAACCAGUAGUGA